GGGCGACCCCCGGCAGCCGCACCGCCACCUUCGCGGCUCGCCGCCGCCGAAGCCUCAGUCAGAAGCUGCUGUGAAGGACCAGCGAGCAGUCACACGUCACCAUGAGGGAAAUUGUUCACAUACAGACCGGCCAGUGCGGCAACCAGAUUGGUACAAAGUUCUGGGAAAUCAUCAGUGACGAACAUGGCAUCCAGCCCACUGGUGAAUACACUGGUACUGAUAAGGACUUGAUGGAGCUCCAGUUGGAGCGCAUCAACGUCUACUACAAUGAGGUAACCAGGGCAAGUAUGUGCCUCGUGCCAUCCUUGUUGAUCUGGAGCCUGGUACCAUGGACAGUGUCAGGUCAGGACCUCAUGGCGCUCUCUUCAAGCCAGACAGCUUGUGUUCGUAAGUAGUGUUCUGUUUAGGUCAGAGUGGUGCUGGAAACAACUGGGCUAAGGGUCAUUACACAGAAGGUGCUGAACUCGUAGACUCUGUCCUCGAUGUUGUCCGCAAGGAAGCAGAAAAGUGUGACUGCUUACAGGGCUUCCAACUAACACAUUCUCUCGGUGGUGGCACCGGCUCGGGCAUGGGUACUCUUCUCGUCUCUAAGAUCCGCGAGGAAUUCCCCGACAGGAUCAUGAACACUUUCUCAGUCGUCCCCUCACCCAAGGUUUCUGAUACCGUCGUAGAACCCUACAACGCAACCCUCUCAAUCCAUCAGCUCGUAGAAAACACCGAUGAAACUUACUGUAUCGAUAAUGAAGCUCUAUACGAUAUCUGCUUCAGAACGUUGAAGUUGGCCAACCCCACCUAUGGUGACCUUAACCAUCUCGUUUCCCUCACAAUGUCCGGUGUCACCACCUGCUUCAGAUUCCCAGGUCAGCUCAAUGCUGAUCUCAGGAAGUUGGCUGUCAACAUGGUCCCUUCCCUCGUCUUCACUUCUUCAUGCCUGGUUUUGCUCCUCUCACCGCCCGUGGUUCUCAACAAUACAGGGCCCUCACUGUCCCAGAACUUACCCAGCAGAUGUUCGAUGCCAAGAACAUGAUGGCUGCCUGCGAUCCUCGCCACGGCCGUUACCUGACAGUCGCCGCCAUCUUCCGUGGCCGUAUGUCCAUGAAGGAGGUUGACGAACAGAUGUACAACAUCCAGAACAAGAACUCCUCAUUCUUCGUUGAAUGGAUCCCCAACAACGUAAAGACCGCCGUGUGCGAUAUCCCUCCACGAGGUAUCAAGAUGGCCUCUACCUUCAUCGGUAACUCCACUGCCAUCCAGGAGCUCUUCAAGCGUGUCAGCGAACAAUUCACUGCUAUGUUCAGGCGAAAGGCUUUCCUUCACUGGUACACUGGUGAGGGUAUGGAUGAGAUGGAGUUCACUGAGGCGAGUCCAACAUGAACGACUUGGUAUCCGAGUACCAGCAAUACCAGGAAGCCACCGCCGAUGACGAGGCUGAGUUCGAAGAGGAGGGUGAAAUGGAAGGCGAAUAUGCCUAAACUUGUAGUCACUUCUAUCGUGAUCAGCUAUUAUCUCCAGCGAAUUUUUCCUUGGUUGAUCAUGCAUUGUACAUUCCCUCUCAUUUCAUUGGCAUCAAAUAAGAACAAAGUUUCUCUUCCAUUUCUUUCUAUAUUUUUUGUAAUAUGAUUUAUAGCACAAUCUGGUGUUUAUUUAUCCAUUUCUAUGUAAUGUGGAAAAGAGCGUAUAUAAAUCAUUUCUAUGUAAUGUGGAAAAGAGCAUAUAUAAAUCUGAAACCAAUCGUAAAAAUAAA